rnacentral:misc_RNA from 1 species
UUUUAAUAUUUCUUGCCUUUUUUUCUUUUUUUUUAAAUUCCAUCGGUAAACCCCCGUCAACUGUUAUGUUAUGUCCGGUUGGACACUCUCUAAAGAGCCUUUGAUUGUUUCACCUUAGGAGUUCUGGGAUGGAACUUGUUCUGAAUAGGAAUAAGUAAAAAGCAUCAUCUAACGGAUCCGAAUACAAGAAAUGCCAGAACAUUUUCAUUUCAAGAAGGGAUUCAUUGUGAAAUCUAACAUGCUUGGGAUUCAACAAACAGGUGUAUGCAUACACACACAAAAUAAUGUGUUGUUUGCACACAGUUGCACGCAAAUAAUAGAAUCGCUUGCCAGCUCUACCGUGAAGGUAAAUGACUACAAAUUAUGGUGCUUAGGAGGACCAAUCUAUUUAUGUGCCAAUCGAUGUCUCUUCUCAAGGAGUUCCUUCGGAUAAAAUUUUGAGGACUGCUUCUUUUGUGGGUAGCGAAGGAAUAGCUCCUUUCUGGGUAAUUGAUAUAGCACCACAGGCGUUGGCAAAGAGGAGAGCUUCCCUCAACUUCUUUUCAUCCUGUAAUGGAAAAUCAAAGUUUCUUAAGCAUGCAUUACAGAAUAUUAUAGUUUUCGAAGAAUGCAUAAUCACAAACAAUGAAUAUUUUAUGCAACUUUUGAAUAAGAGACAGAACAUCUGGUUUGGGCUAGCAAGAGUGAGGGAGGGGGAGUUCUUUUAUGUUACUCAUCCUGGCAAGAGUCUCAAGCAUAUGACUAUUUACUGCCUUUUUCCCUCUCUGACUUGGAAUGUCUCAAGCACUUUUAAGCAGCUUCAGAUCAAAAUAAUCCCAAUUUGAAUUAAUGAGAAACUUUUAAAGGAUACAAAUGGAUGGCGAAUGGACACAUGGAAUUGGACUAAUAUAGGACAUAACAGGUAUCAAAUCCAUUUGAAACAUGAAGAUUGGAUUUGGCAAAAGUAUUCAAUUCUCCGAGCAAGCAGAUCAAUGAACCCUUUUAACAUAGUUUUUUUCCCCUUUUACCUCAGACAUGUUCUAAAUCAUGCUCCAGGCUAAUAUGUAAAAAUCAUAUUUUAUACAAGUAAUUAUCAAAAGAAGCAGGACUAUUGCCUGCUUCAAUAUGAACAAUACCAAUCUGAUUAAGACAUAGCUGUGUAAUAUGUUCUCAACUGCCCCUUUACCCUUACCUUCAUAGUCUAUAACUCAACAAACAUCUGAGAAAUGCAGUUGUAGAAGUAAUCUGAUCAGUGAUGUAAUUGUUUUCUGCUCUGAUCAGUCAGGCAAUUUGUUUUCUGCAUGUUGGAUGCAAGUAUGCUAAACCUAAUUUAAGGGACCAGUUAUGCUAUUUUUCUACAGUUUGAGUAAUACUAGUAUCUAUAUACCAUUUGAACAAGUUCUAAUUGCACUGAUGCAAUAUUUAUGAUGGUGAAGGUCUUCUUUGCUUAACUGUAUCAAUAUACCCAUACCAGAAAUAGAAAGAAACAAAACCAUUGUCGUUGAAUUACUUAGAUGCAAUGUCAAGCUUUAUUCUACCUUAUACAAAUUUAAGUCUGAGGCCAAUUUAUUCAGUAUCCCACCCACAAAGGCAUCACCUGCACCAGUUGUAUCAAUCGCAUCAACUUUUAUACCAGUGACUUUACCCUUGAAUGCCUACAUUCACCCUACAAUGAGAUGUUAAAGAAGAAUAGAAACCGGUAUGUUUUCCAAUUGAAACAAUGUAAGACAUCAAACAAAGAAAGCUUGCUCUCAUUUUAGUCUCAUGAAGCAAAUAAAAGCUGUUAAAAGCUUAGGGAAGUAAUUUGAAUGCUUAAAAAUACUUCUGGACCAAAGAAAACCCUAAAUCAACUUUAAUCUUGACAUCUGAAACCUGGAUGCUAGCCUUUGUAUACUAUCGGCAUCCCUCUGAGCCUUCAGUGACAAGCAAGAGCUUAAGAUUGGGAUGGAAAAACUUUUCCAAUACUACGUUAUCAUCAAAUGGAUCAUCACCUUCGGUCAAGAAUUCAAAUUCUUCCUCACUUAUCUCAAUAAUGUCAGCUUGGUUCCAUAUGCUCAUGAUGCCGUUGCGAGCAGCUUCUGCAGAUGGCCAUAGUGGCAAUCUCAAAUUUGGGUCAUAUGAGAGGAUACAACCAGCAUUCUUGGCAAUGUCCAUGGCAGCUAGAUGAGCUGACUUACAAGGUUCAUUAAUCAAACCAAUUGAUCCAUAGUGAAAUAUACUUGCCUUCUUUAUUAGAUUUUUAUCAAGCUCUGUUUCACAGAGAAGCAUAUCAGCACUAGGAUUACAGUAAAACAUGAAUUCACGUUCACCAUCAGCUCUCAAUGUCACAAAUGCCAGUGCAGUCCUUGCAUGGGAAUCAAAUCGAUGCCAGAAUUAUCAACGUUGUUUUGCUUUAGAAUAUCAGCCAGCAUGUAUCCAAAUUCAUCAUCUCCUACCUUGCCAAUAAAAGCUGAAUGCCCUCCUAAUCUUGCUAUCCCAACAGCAACAUUAGCAGGUGCUCCGCCUGGAGCUUUCUUAAAACCAGGUGCUUCUGCAAGUGAAACUGCAGCAGCAUUUGGCACAACGUCGAUUAAAAUCUCCCCAAAGCAGACAACUGGUGGACUCUCCUCCUGGAGGACCUGGAAUGAUUCCUUUGCCCUUGUACUGGGAUUUCUGGAUGCCUCUAUACAGGAACUCUAAGAUUAACAUAAAAUAGCAUCCAAAACAUUCCAUAAUAUCAAUAUCAAAAGAAAUUUAAUAUGGUUAAUGGUUGUCUGUCAUUUACAAUACUCAGGAGAACGGACACAGGUUCUUUGAAUGGUAAAGUAUAACAGAGUAUAAACCCUGGGAGAGUCAAAAUGUGCGGGAAAGAACAGAAUAUAGUCAAUGCAGUGAACAAGACUGACUAAAACAAAUAAUUAUCUCGAAAAUGCUAUCAUUGGACCAGAUAAAAAGAGGAAAAUAUUUGCUUUGAACACAAAAUGUUAGCCCACCACAACUGAAACUCAACAAAAGUACAUAAUGCAGAUUGAGAAUUUUCUCUUCAAGAAUGCCACAUUGAGCCCAAAAUUCAAAGAGGACAUGAAUCCUACAACAUAGAACAAUACCCACUUCAACGAUACAUAAGUGGCGAAAGAUGCAACAAACAAAUAACACUUGAGAAGACAAUUAAACCAAAGAAUCAGAGCAAUUUUUUUUUUUCAAGAAUGCUUCUCGUUGCUAAGAACAAAAAAAACACCAACCAUAAAUUCUCUCAACUACUCUUUAAGAUUGCAAGAUAUAGCCCCAGAAUAAAAAAUGUAAAAGAAAUAAAUUCAAAAGACGAAUGCAUAUACCCUUAGAGCGACUCUCAGACAACUUAUUGGAGGAAGAACUCCCAAGGGAGCGCUCAAGCUUAACGGAAAAGCAACAACCUACCAUCUUCAGCUCUUCCUUGCUGUAUAGAACAUAAAAUUGAAUAUGAAAGUCCAUUUCUUCAUCAAUGCUUCCAUUGUAUAAGCUGUAAACGGAAAGUACCGACAUCUUUGCUCCUUGUUUGACAUCUUUUGCUUAGUCCACUUCAAUUUUCUACUAACGUUCUCCGUUCUGUUUUUCCUCUGAAACCUACUCCCUUGGAAACUCAAAUUAUCUUGUAGGUGGGUUUUGACUUGUUAAUCUCAGGGCCUCCUCCAGAUUAG